rnacentral:misc_RNA from 1 species
GAUGAAGAACGCAGCGAAAUGCGAUAAGUAAUGUGAAUUGCAGAAUUCAGUGAAUCAUCGAAUCUUUGAACGCACCUUGCGCUCCUUGGUAUUCCGAGGAGCAUGCCUGUUUGAGUGUCAUGAAAUUCUCAACCUUUUCAGCUUUCUUUGUUGAUCAGGCUUGGAUGUGGGAGUAUGCGGGCUUCUCAGAAGUCGGCUCUCCUGAAAUGCAUUAGCGGGACCUUUGUUGCCUGGCUUUGGUGUGAUAAUUAUCUACGCCAUUGUAGUCAAGCAGCUUAAAAUGAGGUUUCAGCUUCUAACCGUCUCCCCUGAGACAACUUUUUGACAAUUUGACCUCAAAUCAGGUAGGACUACCCGCUGAACUUAGGCAUAUCAAUAAGCGGAGGA